rnacentral:tRNA from 1 species
GCAUUAGAAUUAGAAUCUAAUAAAAUAUAAAUAAUUAUUAUUAAUUUUAUUAU